GAAAGGGAGAGGAUGAUGAGGCAGUGGGUAGGUGGGUGAGAUAUUGUCACUAUAAUUGCAUAAUGGAUUUGUAUGUGAACUGUACAUCCAAUUACAAAAAUACCUUGUUCAGUAAUCAUCUCACCUGUUAGUUGGCGGUGAACUAUGUUGCCGUUGAGAGCAGCAGUGUCGAACAGAUGGAAAAAAUAUCUUCUUAUACAACUUGGUCGUUUUCCGAGUGCAUUCCACAAAGCUGUUUAUCAUGUCCGCCUUAUCCACUGCCCCCAUUUUGAGGUUAUAGUCAAGCACACAGUCUGGUUUGAUUUUUCUCUCUCCCGUCAGGUGGUCCACCUUCCCUGUGGCCGACAUGGUUGCUGUAUGGACAGUGGAGAGGACAUGGACGUCUCGUUUGUCAUGCCACUUUACUGCCAGCUGUUGACCGUUCUCCUUGAACUCCACCUCCCCUCUCUGCAUCUUCCUGCAUCCGAAUGCCGGCAUCCCCUUCCUGUUCGACCUGACUGCCACAGGCACCUGUGCUGUUGGAGAGCAGAUGCUGGAAGAGUGUGGGACUGCUGUACCAAUUGUCCACGUACAAAGUGUGUCCCUUGCCAAGAUGAGGAGCCAGCAUGGUCAUAUUGUUUUAUGGAGCCAGCAUGGUCAUCACGAGUCCCACUGUAGCUCAGUUGGUAGAGCAUGGCGCUUGCAAUGCCAGGGUUGUGGGUUCAAUUCCCACGGGGGGCCAGUAUUUAAAAAAAAAAAUGCUCUGGAUAAGAGCAUCUGCUAAAUGACUAAAAUGUAAAUCACCAUGGACCCAGACACCCCGAGCCCCUCAUAAUGUUGGAUGUCAGUGGUGGACCCUGUGUGAACUAUAAUGUCCUGGACAAAUCUGGUCUUCAUGUUGCACAUGACAAAGAACUUGACCCCAAACCUGUGCCUAUUGGAGGGAAUAUAUUGACGGAACGCCAGCGUACCUUUCCGUAACAUCAGGGACUUAUCAAUGCAUAGAUACUUGCAUGGCACAACGACCCAACCAAAUGCUGAUGUCAGGCUGAUAAGAACAUUUCUUAUUUUGUAUAACGGGUCACUUAGGAUGGCAGUAGCAUUGUUGACGAAAUGCAGGCAUCGAAGCAGAACUAGGAAGCGGUCUUGGGAAAAGAGGGUGGCAAAGAAGGGAGUUGCAAACAUAGGAUCUGUGCUCCAGUAUUCUCCUAGGGAGUUCUUCUUUACUAUCCCCAUGAUAAGGACUGUCACCAGGAAGCUCCAAGGCAUAGCGAUUGGUCUCCUCUACUAUGUUUCCCACCAGCUCCUCUGUCAGAAACAACUUGAAGCACUCUGCCUCAGAUGGAAAUGGCAAGGGGCGUUGCACUCCAGACUGGGACUCAUCAAAGCAAACAGCAGGGCCAGGAGGGGUGAAAUGGCUGGCGGCCUUCCAGCUACCACAGAACUCCUCUACUGCAUCCACUGUCGGUCUGCCUCCAUCACCACCAGCAUCUUCAAAGGGACCUGGGACUUCGUCAGUGGACAAGGAAACCUCAGAUUCAUGGUUCUCAAUGGCUUCA
rnacentral:lncRNA from 1 species